AGAGCCGGCGCGACGCUACCGCGUCCUCCUUCCUCGGCGGUGGCCUCGGAGGCCCCGAGGUGUGGCUGGAGCGGCCGGAGGACCGCCCCGGAGCCUAGGCCGUCGGCGUGUGGACGCCUUACGGCCAGGGCUUGGUUUGUACCGCAGCCUGGCUCACCCUGACGGACAUGAGGACGUGGAAGGGAAUGACUCCCGAGCCCCUGGCACAGCAGCCUGCGGGCCCCGCCUCUGCUGCCGCGGGCAGGGCCGCGCUGGCCUGGCGCCGAAACUCGGAUGUCCCCUCUGCAAACUGGGAUACGGAGUCUCACUGACAGGGCGGACGUGCCGGAAGAGUGGAUUUGCACGUCCAGCUGGGGCCUGGGCCCCAGGAGGGGCACGGACCGGUGUCAGUUCUCCGCUCCCUCCGGAGCUUCGCGGCCUCGCAGGGAGACCAGCCCCUCCAAGAGCUCAGUGACAUCAGCUUGCCAUCCGGGCGUACGUUUGGUCAAAGGUGCAGACGCCUGUGCCUGGGCGUGAACCCAGCACUUCUCAGAAGUGUGAACUCUCCGCUCGCCUCCCCCGCGGCUGCGCGCGCAGGACCGAAGGCGGUGGAGCCAUCCGGAGUCCGCCCUGCCCUUGGCGUCCGCUUUCUUAAGAGGAGCAGGGGCGGUAUGUGAAAUUCAGGCUUGUCUGAAUGAGGAACCCGGGUACUGACCGUCACACGAUGCCGCCAUCUGGGCCCCCAGCCCUCCACGUUGUGUCUAGCAAGCUGGCACCCUAUCGGUGUGUGUUGUUGAAAUGUUACGAAGUGACUGCCAUGUGCCAGAGCCUGGGCCAGGCCCGCUCACCUCUGCUCCCACGGGUUCUGAAGCCCUGUCUGAUGAGGGAGAUCACCCGGCAGAGAAAUAAACGCCCUCUCCUCAGGCCACCCAGCCGCUGGGUGCCUUUCACGUGGUGUGAGACGUCAGAAGGAACCCUCGAUGGGCGCUGUGGCGGUGGCUGAGGCCAGUCGAGUGGCGCUGGGAGCCAAUGUCCUUGUCACCUUCUAACAACUCGUGGGGAGCUUCCGCCGGAUUACGUGGGAUGUUCAAGGGCCAUGUACGUCAGUGGUGGCUGUCACCACCAGAGGCCGGGCAGGGCACGGGUGCAGCUAGGGAACCUGUGCCACUGUGUGUGACCACUGCCCAGCCCGGCAGGUCCUCUCUAGUCACCGGGAACGUUGAAGUUAAAGACUUUGAUGGGGAGCGGCAGCGGGGAGCAGCCCAGCGCAUCGCGGAGGAGACGGUGUUUCCUAACACUUCCGGAGGACAGAGUGCCAACUGGCGUGGCCAUCUUCGCUUCGGGGGUCUCCUGCAGCCUCUGCCCAGGAGUCUGGGGGCUCACGUGCAUUUGCCCCUUACUCGGGAACCGUAACCCUCAGAGAUCAGAAGGAGCAUGGGAGCGAGACGAUUCAAUAAACUCACAAUAAAACAUCCAAAGCCUUUCA